rnacentral:rRNA from 1 species
UACGUAGGGUCCGAGCGUUGUCCGGAAUUAUUGGGCGUAAAGGGCUCGUAGGCGGCUUUCUAAGUCAGGGGUGAAAUCCUGGAGCUCAACUCCAGAACUGCCUUUGAUACUGGAGAGCUUGAGUCCGGAAGAGGUGAGUGGAACUCCGAGUGUAGAGGUGAAAUUCGUAGAUAUUCGGAAGAACACCAGUGGCGAAGGCGGCUCACUGGACCGGUAUUGACGCUGAGGUGCGAAAGCGUGGGGAGCAAACAGG